GACGAACGCUGGCGGCGUGCUUAACACAUGCAAGUCGAGCGGAAAGGCUCCUUCGGGGGUACUCGAGCGGCGAACGGGUGAGUAACACGUGAGUAAUCUGCCCUUGGCUUCGGGAUAGCCACCGGAAACGGUGAUUAAUACCGGAUACGACACAUCACUGCAUGGUGCGUGUGUGGAAAGUUUUUUCGGCCAGGGAUGUGCUCGCGGCCUAUCAGCUUGUUGGUGGGGUAAUGGCCUACCAAGGCUUCGACGGGUAGCCGGCCUGAGAGGGUGACCGGCCACACUGGGACUGAGACACGGCCCAGACUCCUACGGGAGGCAGCAGUGGGGAAUAUUGGACAAUGGGCGGAAGCCUGAUCCAGCAACGCCGCGUGAGGGAUGACGGCCUUCGGGUUGUAAACCUCUUUCAGCACAGACGAAGCGCAAGUGACGGUAUGUGCAGAAGAAGGACCGGCCAACUACGUGCCAGCCGCCGCAGUAAUAC
rnacentral:rRNA from 1 species